GUUGAUCAAGGUCAUGCUUGGAAAUCUUUUCCAUGUUGCAGGUAUGGCCAGAGAAAGCCUGUGUUUGCUUACCGAUUGCUGGCUCAUGGAACUAUGGAAGAGAAAAUAUAUAAGCGCCAGGUAACAAAGGAGGGGCUUGCUGCUAGAGUGGUUGACAGACAGCAAGUGUACAGGACUAUAUCUAAAGAAGAGAUGUUACAUCUCUUUGAGUUUGGUGAUGAUGAAAACCCUGAGACGUUGGCUGAACUGAGCCAAGAGAAUGGGCAUUCAUUGGAACAAACGAUCCCACAUUCAAAUGGAACCAGCCAUUCCGAUAAGCUAAUGGAAAAGCUUACUUAGCAAGCAUCAUCCCAAGUGGAUUGCCAAUUAUCAUGAACACGAAACCUUGUUGCAAGAAAAUGAAGAAGAAAAGCUAUCAAAAGAGGAGCAAGACAUGGCUUGGGAAGUAUAUACCGGAAAACGUUAGAAUGGGAGGAAGUGCAGAGAGUACCACUGGGUGAAUCUCUGCCUGUUCAAAAGCCCCAAGAGCCGAAUAAUGCACCCCCUGCAUCAAAAUCCCGCAGCCUUUCACCAACAAGGGUGAGGAGCCGUUUUGUGACCCGCAAAUGCACCAACCUUUCACACUUGCUGACGCUUAGAAGUCAAGGCACUAAAUUUGGUUGCAGUACGGUCUGUGGGGAAUGCGCCCAAGAGAUCAGAUGGGAGGACUUGAAGUACAGAGAUGGAAGAGCAAUAAGGUGAAGGAUGAUAUAAUUUUAUCCGUUGAUAUUUUAACUAACCAAUGCAUCUGUUUGUUGUAAAUGUUUAAUGUCCCGAGGUCAAUAUAUAUUCUUUUGUAAUAUUUAUAGCUGUAAAUGGAUUGGGCUUCAUGUUCAAAAUCUUUUUGAAGAAAUUGUAUGGUUACGCUCAUGUUCUGUGGGACUAUCUUCUAAUUGCUGGCGUGGCUUGAAGGUUAACUCGUCUACAGCGAGUCAUGCCUAAUGUAAAUGAAACCUUAUACAGUUUGAUUACAGUUGCUGAUCUAUUUUUCAUUUUGGGUUCAUCAUGGAAAUUUAUGAUACCUUA